CUCGCCUGCAUGAAGACGGAAUUGCUAGUAAUCGCGAAUCAGCAUGUCGCGGUGAAUACGUUCCCGGGCCUUGUACACACCGCCCGUCAAACCAUGAGAGUUGGGAAUACCCGAAGUCUGUAAUCUAACCGCAAGGAGGAUGCAGCCGAAGGUAGGCUCAAUGAUUGGGGUUAAGUCGUAACAAGGUAAC
rnacentral:rRNA from 1 species